rfam:Triticum aestivum genome assembly, contig: Triticum_aestivum_CS42_TGACv1_scaffold_146301_2BS
CCUGUACUCCCUCCGUCCGAAAAUACUUGUCAUUGAAAUGGAUGUAUCUAGAUGUAUUUUAGUUCUAGACACAUCCAUUUUGAUGACAAGUAAUUCUGGACGGAGGGAGUACUUG